AGAGUUUGAUCCUGGCUCAGAGCGAACGCUAGCGGCGGGCCUCAAACAUGCAAGUCGAACGCGAAAAGGUAGCAAUACCGAGUAGAGUGGCGCACGGGUGAGUAACACGUAACUAACUUCCCCUCUCGCUGGGGAUAACUCCGGGAAACCGGAGCUAAUACCGAAUGAGCUUACGAAGACUGCGGUCUUUUUAAGCAAAGCCUUCGGGCGCGAGAGGAUAGGGUUGCGGCCUAUUAACUAGUUGGUGGGGUAACGGCCUACCAAGGUGACGAUAGGUAGCUGGUCUGAGAGGACGAUCAGCCACACUGGAACUGACACACGGUCCAGACUCCCACGGGAGGCAGCAGUUGGGAAUAUUGGACAAUGGGCGCAAGCCUGAUCCAGCCACGCCGCGUGAAUGAUGAAGGCCUUCGGGUCGUAAAGUUCUUUUGUAGGGGACAAAGGGAAACUUGAUGGUACCCUAAGAAAAAGCACCGGCUAACUCCGUGCCAGCAGCCGCGGUAAUACGGAGGGUGCAAGCGUUGCUCGGAAUUAUUGGGCGUAAAGCGUAUGUAGGCGGUUUUCUAAGUCUGAUGUGAAAUCCCAGGGCUUAACUCUGGAACUGCAUUGGAUACUGGAAAGCUAGAGGACGAUAGAGGAUGGUGGAAUUCCUGGUGUAGGGGUGAAAUCCGUAGAUAUCAGGAGGAACAUCAGUGGCGAAGGCGGCCAUCUGGAUCGUACCUGACGCUGAGAUACGAAAGCGUGGGGAGCAAACAGGAUUAGAUACCCUAGUAGUCC
rnacentral:rRNA from 1 species